UUUUUUGCUGUACAAACAACCUUUUUUUUACAGUUACUUUUAAAUUUGCUGCCUAUUCUUGUAAAAGAUUAAGUGCGCUUUAAUGGUACUGAAUGUGCAUUUGUAGUGUAUUUCAAAGCUUAAAUGAAUAUUUUUUAAAAUUGUUCUGGCAGACAAUAUAAUAUUAAUGCAAUAAACGGGCACUUAAGUGUUAUUUAAAGAAUACACUUUCAUGACACACAAAUACAUUUUCUAAAAGUGCACUUUGUUUAAAUCAUGGUUUUAAUGAUCUUUUGUCAUGCUUUAAAGUACAACUAUAUACUAUAUAUAUAUAUAAACUUUAAAUUGCAACUUCGUCAUUAGAAAUGUAUUUAAAUGCAUGAUAUAAAUGCAUUGAAGUCCUCAGAUAUGUUAUGCUUGGGAUGAACACAAAACAGUUAAGCAAAAUCUACAAGACAUGUGGCUGUCACUUGGGAUGAAGGGAUAUGAAAAAUAAACCAGUGGAGACAAAUGUUUAAAACCCUACGUCAUUGAAGCAAUGGAGGUAGAGGCCAGACAGGCGUGGACAGAACCACAUGCUCCACUGACAUGACUGAAUAUGUUCAAUACAUGGUGAAGGAACACAAUCAGGAUUAUAAGGCAAGGGAUGAGAAAAAUUACUAUCAGGACACCCUAAAGCAGAUCAAAUGGAAAGUAGAAUUAUACAAACAGUGAUAUCCUGAUUGAAUAUGCUGCGUUCAUUGCGUCUCUGCAAUCUCAGAAGUCUAUGUGAUGUCACAGCGAAGAACUGGUGUCUCAAACUGAUUCAGAAUAUCACCUUAGUAUCUGUCACGUGUGUUGCAAAUGUGAGGAGUGUCAGUAGCAAUGCAAAAGUUAAACCAAGCAGUAUUCUGUUGGUCAAUGCUGCAAAUUCAUGUGGAAAAUUACAAUUCUGACUUAAAAUAUGCACACCAAAAUUUUUAUUUGAUGUUUAUGUUUAUAAACAUUAUGCUGAAAAUGCUGUUGAUAGAACUGAACCCAGAACUUUGAUUUAAGACACAAUAAUUACAGAGAUUUGUUCAUAUUUGCACUGCAGUAGUAGUGCUUCUGUAGAUGUUGUUGCUUCAUCACUGUUUCUUAGAAUUGUACAUGCUAAAUAAAAUGCGCAUGACUGGUUGUGAA